AUUGAACGCUGGCGGCAGGCCUAACACAUGCAAGUCGAGCGGAUGAAGGGAGCUUGCUCCUGGAUUCAGCGGCGGACGGGUGAGUAAUGCCUAGGAAUCUGCCUGGUAGUGGGGGAUAACGUCCGGAGACGGGCGCUAAUACCGCAUACGUCCUGCGGGAGAAAGUGGGGGAUCUUCGGAACUCACGCUAUCAGAUGAGCCUAGGUCGGAUUAGCUAGUUGGUGGGGUAAAGGCCUACCAAGGCGACGAUCCGUAACUGGUCUGAGAGGAUGGUCAGUCGCACUGGAACUUAGACACGGUCCAGACUCCUACGGGAGGCAGCAGUGGGGAAUAUUGGACAAGGGGCGAAAGCCUGAUCCAGCCAUGCCGCGUGUGUGAAGAAGGUCUUCGGAUUGUAAAGCACUUUAAGUUGGGAGGAAGGGCAGUAAGUUAAUACCUUGCUGUUUUGACGUUACCAACAGAAUAAGCACCGGCUAACUUCGUG
rnacentral:rRNA from 1 species